rnacentral:rRNA from 1 species
GCAAGAGAGCCGGAACACAGGUGCUGCAUGGCUGUCGUCAGCUCGUGUCGUGAGAUGUUGGUUAAGUCCCGCAACGAGCGCAACCCUUGUCAUUAGUUGCCAUCAUUUGGUUGGGCACUCUAAUGAGACUGCCGGUGACAAACCGGAGGAAGUGGGGAUGACGUCAAGUCCUCAUGGCCCUUAUGGGUAGGGCUUCACACGUCAUACAAUGGUCGGUACAGAGGGUUGCCAACCCGCGAGGGGGAGCUAAUCCCACAAAAGCCGAUCGUAGUCCGGAUCGCAGUCUGCAACUCGACUGCGUGAAGUCGGAAUCGCUAGUAAUCGUGGAUCAGCAUGUCACGGUGAAUACGUUCCCGGGUCUU